GAAAGUUUAGCUUGGUUUCUUCUCAGAUACUUGAGAGAGAGUAAGAAGCAUAGAGAAAGGAAGAGAAGAAAAACCUGCAUCACUGAUUCACUACUGAUGAAGCUUCCCUUCUGCAGGCACUGAUUUUGUGGUAGGGAAAAUGGCCAUGUCUUUCUAAGGACAUGGAAUGACAGUGUCAGACUGAGAAGGUCAUUCCAUAGUACUAAGCAUACAUGAGGCCCUCA